rnacentral:lncRNA from 1 species
GUCCUCCACCGGCGCGGGCGGGGCCGCGGACGAGCCGGCCGGGGCUGGGGAACAACUUUCCGCCGCCGCCGCAGCCGCCGCCGCGCCUCCGGCCGCCUUCGACAUGGAGAAGAGCUAACCUUGGGUAGCUGCUGUUCCUUCAGUCUGAGCCACACACUCAGCCACCCCAGCCAACCUGAAGAUCUGCAGCAUGAAGCAGAGCUAUGCUCACAGACUCACAGAUCUGUGUGUGAGAAAACAAGACUGUUGUUUAAGCUACCGACUUUUGGGGAGAUUUAUUGUGCAGCAUUACUAAUGCAAUAGUUAGCAGAUACAACUCCCCUGCCUAAAUCCCUUUGGGGGCAUCUCAGCACCUUUCUGUGGAGUGAAGCUACAUUUCUUAGCAGAGCAUGUAAGAUGGACACAGUCUGAUGCUUGCUUACUUUUUCAGCUCCAACUCCUACCAUACUUUGCCUGCCUCAUAUUUCAUACUUUUUCAGUUCUAAACUGCCUUGUAGCUCCCUGUCAGCAUUCAAUAUACCUCCGUACCACACUGAUGCUCUUUUCUCAUGCAUGAAAUGCCUUCCUUGCCUUAUCCUUCUGAAUAACUUCCAACCAGAUCCUUCAAAAGGCAUCAUCUUAUCCAGAGUGCUGGCAUCAGCCCACAUUUCCCUGGCAGAGGCAAAGGUGAGUGUCCCUCUCCACUCCCAUAACCUCCAGUGCAUACCCCUAGUGCAGUACCUAAAAUAGAAUGCUGAAUUACAGGAAAAUAUAAGCAGAGGCUCAAACUAAUCCAGUCCAAUCCCAACAAAAGGGUUUAGCUCCGGCCAGGAUUUAAUAUUAUCUCUUUUCUGCUUUCUCCAAACCAUACAAAUUUUUGUCAUGCUCUACAAAACUCCUUGGUGCCAUUAGGGAUGUUACUGAGGACAUUGCUCACGACAUCCCAUAAUACCUUAUAAAAACUGCACCUAAUCCCUGUGGUUCUUUGGGGGAACUACAUAAUUUUCAUCCUAUGGACACUGAAUUUUGCAAUUGGUUAUGUAUUCCUCUUUGUGCUGGCUUCUAGGAAGUUAGAUCUAAAUUUGUGGCCCACCUUCAAUAAUUUAGAGAAAACUUAAGGAAUGUAAUCUGUUGACUAACCUGACUUCCAUCAUUUUCUCACUUUCAAAUUUCUCCCUCACAGUUUCUUCUUUUUAACCUUAUGUGUAUGUAUCUUUGCAAGUUACUGCUGGCAUUUUUAGUAAGGCAGAAAAGAGAGGAAGGGAGGGAGGGAGGGGGAGAAGGGUCUCAUCUUCAAUUAUAGACCCUAUAAUGUUUUCUGUCUCUCAUUUACUUUGGUAUCUGCUUUGGCUUGAACAUGUGUCCCUCCGAUAUUCAUAUGUUGAAACUUAAACCUUAAGGUAAUGGCAUUAAGAGGGGGCCUUGGGAAGGUGAUUAGGCUGUGAGGGCUCUGCCCUCAUGGAUGGGAUUAGUGCCCUUAUAAAAGGACUUGAGAGAGCAAGUUUGUCCCUUUUUGCCCACCCUUCUCUUCUACCGGAUGGGGAAACAGCAUUUGUCCCUUUUUGCCCCUUUUGCCUUUCCACCAUGUGAGGACACAGUAAGAGGGGCCGUCUGUGAAGCAGAGAGUGAGCCUUCACCAGACACUGAAUCUACUGGACUCUUGAUCUUGGACUUCCCAGCCCCCAGAAAUAUGAGACAUACAUUUCUAAUAUUUAUAAAGUACCUAGUCUAAGGUAUUUUCUUAUAGCAGAAUAAAUGGACUAAGACAAUGUCUUUUUCCUCUUUUAGCUCCUAAGCUCCCGAAGACAAGGUCUAUUUCCUAACACAGAGUUAGUAUUCAAUAAAUACAGGAGGGAAGGAGGAAAGAAAGAAGGGGGAAGGGAGGAGAGAACAAGUUUUCCAAGGGCCUUCAUUCUGAUUUUUUAAAAUAUCUUUCUUGUUUGGGUUGGGUCACCACCCAAACACAUACACAAGAUCUCUUCCUUUUGAAAAUAUCAUUACUGUUUAGUAUAUUUGGAAGUCAGAAGAGUGAUACGUAGUUCGGAAAUUUUUUUAAUAUUUCAAAAUUGUUUAAGUGUUGGAUAAUAUGAUGCUUUAACAAGUUAGCCUCAAAUCUCUGCAAAAAAUGCACUUCAGGCAAUGAGCUUAUUUUAUGUUGAUGCCAGACAUAAAUAUCAUAUAUACAAACAAGGCUGAGGUUUAUCUCAUUUUUCUGUGUUGCAACAAAUAACACAGGCAGCCACUAAAACGCCCUGUCUUGCUCCAUCAAGAACCAAUUUCCCAGGCAAUACCUCAAAACUCUACAGAAGUACAUUCAAUUUUAGCUUUGUUACCUAAUUCUGAGUUGAGAUGCAGAGAACACCGUCAUUGUGUGGAACUAGUACUAUGGCAGAAAUGGCCAGGGAAGGGUUUAUCUAACCACCAGGAGUACGCAAAGAAGAGAGGUCCAGCCAGCCUGCCUCUCAGAUUGUUAAGAUGCCAGGUGUCUUUUGGCUCAUGGAAACAGCUGUUCUGCCCCCUCCCGAACCCUAGACUCACAGCUACACUCUAUGGGUGGGACCAAAAUGCAAUUGCAUAUUUCUUUAUAAGCAGGAGAUUUCACAAAGAAAAGGAGAAGGCAAGAACCACAGAGGCAAAGAUUGGAGAGAUGUGGCUGCAAGUCAGGCAGUAUCUAGCUGCCACUAGAUACUGGAAGAGUCAAGGAAUGGACUCUCCCUGGAGACUCCAGAGAAAACCUAGCCCUUCUGACUCCUUGAUUGUUGCCUUAUAAGACUCAUUUCAGACUUUAGGCUGCGUAUGAGAGAAUAAAUUUCUGUUGUUUUAAGCCACAAAGUUUGUGACCACAAUAAUAAUAUAGCACCAUUUAUAACAAAGCACUAUGUUUUUAUCUGUAUUAGUAUAGUUAUCACCGUCUUUCUUACUUUAUACCUGGUGGAUACCUAUUGAUUUUCUUUUUAGAGGGCAGGGAUCUGUCUUAUUCAUGAGUGAAUACUCUGCUGCACCUGGGAACUAAAGUGUUUGCCAUAGGAGUGCAGUAAAGUUUGUUCAAAUGGAUCUGAAGCUCAGUCUCUGUGGUGCCCAUAUUCUUGUGUGCAUACAGGGAAAGGACAAAGGGAAGGCUGCUUCCUGAAGAGAUCUCCAUAUGGAAGAGCUGCAGAUCACAAACAACCCACACAGCCAUUGUAACGCCUGCUUGCCUGGUCACUUGUGUUUCUGAGAAGCCAUAACUCCAAGAAUAGCGAAGGGAAGAAAAUGCCAAAAAGCAGGGGCUGCCUAACAGGUCUGACUUGCAAGGCAAACUCCUGGCAGGCCUGGCCAGCUUCUGCUUGUCCCAGUGCAAUCCCACCCCCAUAGGAUCUGGAAUUUUUCAGUCCCUUUGCUAAGAUUCCUGAAAUAGACUUAAUGAAGAGCCUCAGAAGUGAAAAUUCCUCUUCACACAUUUGCUCAAGAAGAUUGCUUUUCUCCUAACACAGAAAUCAGCUGCCUUGAGGAUGUGCAAGUUUGAUUAGGGAGUCUGCUCUUGCCUAUUUCUCAAACGGUUCAGGCCCUGACAGAAUCAGUGUCACCCCUAAGAAUGAAACCUUCCAAGGGGCCAUGAUCAUAUUGUGACUGGACAAGAACUAUCAUGGAUGAGGCACAUCAUCUUUUGGAACCAUCUAUGGAACAGAUAUUAUUAUUCCAUUUUGCGGAAGAGGAAUCUGAGGCUCAGGCCAGACAGAUGCAGCUAACGUUGAGUGGCAUCCUGAUGAUCACCUUCAUCACAAAAGGAAGGAGUGCUCUGAGGACUGUAGGUGGCUCUCAGAACCCUGACCUCCACGGCAGCCAUCAAGGAGUGGCAAAGGGGGUCCACAGUGGCAUAUGCAGUGAGAUCCAAGUUUUAGGCAUUCGGAGUAGAGCAAGCCACGAAUGAGAACAGGUUCUGAAAGUGACAGAAAAGGAGUCACUUUUUUGGUUCCAUAUGAACUUUAAGGUAGUUUUUUCCCAGUUCUGUGAAGAAAGUCAUUGGUAGCUUGAUGGGGAUGGCAUUGAAUCUAUAAAUUACCUUGGACAGUAUGGCCAUUUUCAUGAUAUUGAUUCUUCCUACCCAUGAGCAUGGAAUGUUCUUCCAUUUGUUUGUAUCCUCUUUUAUUUCCUUGAGCAGUGGUUUGUAGUUAUCCUUGAAGAGGUUCUUCACAUCCCUUGUAAGUUGGAUUCCUAGGUAUUUUAUUCUCUUUGAAGCAAUUGUGAAUGGGAGUUCACUCAUGAUUUGGCUCUCUGUUUGUCUGUUGUUAGUGUAUAAGAAUGCUUGUGAUUUUUGUACAUUGAUUUUGUAUCCUGAGACUUUGCUGAAGUUGCUUAUCAGCUUAAGGAGAUUUUGGGCUGAGACAAUGGGGUUUUCUAGAUAUACAAUCAUGUCAUCUGCAAACAGGGACAAUUUGACUUCCUCUUUUCCUAAUUGAAUACCCUUUAUUUCCUUGUCCUGCCUAAUUGCCCUGGCCAGAACUUCCAACACUAUGUUGAAUAGGAGUGGUGAAAGAGGACAUCCCUGUCUUGUGCCAGUUUUCACAGGGAAUGCUUCCAGUUUUUGCCCAUUCAGUAUGAUAUUGGCUGUGGGUUUGUCAUAGAUAGCUCUUAUUAUUUUGACAUACGUCCCAUCAAUACCUAAUUUAUUGAGAGUUUUUAGCAUGAAGCGUUGUUGAAUUUUGUCAAAGGCCUUUUCUGCAUCUAUUGAGAUAAUCAUGUGGUUUUUGUCUUUGGUUCUGUUUAUAUGCUGGAUUACAUUUAUUGAUUUGUGUAUAUUGAACCAGCCUUGCAUCCCAGGGAUGAAGCCCACUUGAUCAUGGUGGAUAAGCUUUUUGAUGUGCUGCUGGAUUCGGUUUGCCAGUAUUUUAUUGAGGAUUUUUGCAUCAAUGUUCAUCAGGGAUAUUGGUCGAAAAUUCUCUUUUUUGGUUGUAUCUCUGCCCGGCUUUGGUAUCAGGAUGAUGCUGGCCUCAUAAAAUGAGUUAGGGAGUAUUCCCUCUUUUUCUAUUGAUUGGAAUAUCACCAAGUCCAUCCUAAGCCAAAAGAACAAAGCUGGAGGCAUCACACUACCUGACUUCAAACUAUACUACAAGGCUACAGUAACCAAAACAGCAUGGUACUGGUACCAAAACAGAGAUAUAGAUCAAUGGAACAGAACAGAGCCCUCAGAAAUAACACCGCAUAUCUACAAUUAUCUGAUCUUUGACAAACCUGACAAAAACAAGCAAUGGGGAAAGGAUUCCCUAUUUAAUAAAUGGUGCUGGGAAAACUGGCUAGCCAUAUGUAGAAAGCUGAAACUGGAUCCCUUCCUUACACCUUAUACAAAAAUCAAUUCAAGAUGGAUUAAAGACUUAAACGUUAGACCUAAAACCAUAAAAACCCUAGAAGAAAACCUAGGCAUUACCAUUCAGGACAUAGGCAUAGGCAAGGACUUCAUGUCUAAAACACCAAAAGCAGUGGCAACAAAAGCCAAAAUUGACAAACGGGAUCUAAUUAAGCUAAAGAGCCUCUGCACAGCAAAAGAAACUACCAUCAGAGUGAACAGGCAACCUACAAAAUGGGAGAAAAUUUUCGCAACCUACUCAUCUGACAAAGGGCUAAUAUCCAGAAUCUACAAUGAACUCAAACAAAUUUACAAGAAAAAAACAAACAACCCCACCAAAAAGUGGGUGAAGGACAUGAACAGACACUUUUCAAAAGAAGACAUUUAUGCAGCCAAAAAACACAUGAAAAAAUGCUCACCAUCACUGGCCAUCAGAGAAAUGCAAAUCAAAACC